AUAUUUUCAUCAGUUAAUAUCGAAACUGAUGAAAAUAUUAAUACUUAACAUUGUAUUAAGUGUCAUCUUUCCCAACAUUUCAAAAGUUUCAUAUUUAAAAUGUUAAUAGAGUUCAAAGCCUCUAAAGUUAACUAUACUUUCCAAAGUUAACUUUGGGAUUAUUAUUAUUUUCCUUGCCCCAUCUAAACAACAAACAAUGACAGAGUAAGUAAAAAGCCAGCGUCCUAGUUUAUCUUCAUUCAGUUGUCUAAUCCUUCUUAGAGGUCACACAAGGUAUCAGAUAAAACCAUACAGCAGAGGUUGUUCAUUAAGAGAAGUGCUGAUCUAACAUUUUGGAACUCCCAAGUCAUAGGCAGUCACCAAUUAUUUGAAUCAUCCACAUGCUCAUUUUCUAAAUAGAAACAGUUUAAAAAUAAUUGUCUAUUCAAAAGCCUUCGUGAAUAAGUAAUUUUGGACAGCUAGGUUUUUCCAGAGAGCCAAGAAAUAAGCCUUUAAGGGCCAGGUGCAGUGGCUCAUGCCUGUAAUCCCAGCACUUUGGGAGGCCGAGGCAGGCGGAUCACCUGAGGUCAGGAGUUUGAGACCAGCCUGGCCAUCAUGGCGAAAACCCGUGUCUACUAAAAAUACAACAAUUAGCUGGGCAUGGAGGCAUAUGCCUGUAAUCCCA
rnacentral:lncRNA from 10 species